rnacentral:rRNA from 1 species
GGGUCAGUAGGUUGGUCGUGCCCCCGGUACGUACUGGUCUCACUGAUUCCUCCUUCCUGAAGAACCGUAAUGCCAUUAAUUUGGUGUUGCGGGGAAACAGGACUGUUACUUUGAAAAAAUUAGAGUGUUUAAAGCAAGCUAACGCUCGAAUACAUUAGCAUGGAAUAAUGAAAUAGGACGAUCGAUCCUAUUUUGUUGGUUUCUAGGAUUGACGUA